CCUACGGGUGGCAGCAGUGAGGAAUAUUGGUCAAUGGCCGGAAGGCUGAACCAGCCAAGCCGCGUGAAGGACGAAGGUGCCAAGCAUUGUAAACUUCUUUUGUCAAGGGACAAAAUCAGGCUCGAGAGCCUGACCGAGGGUACUUGAAGAAAAAGCAUCGGCUAACCCCGUGCCAGCAGCCGCGGUAAUACGGUGGAUGCGAGCGUUAUCCGGAUUUAUUGGGUUAAAAGGGUGCGUAGGCGGGAUGGAAAGUCAGCGGUAAAGAUGCGGUGCUCAACGCCGUCGAGCCGUUGAAACUGGCGUUCUUGAGUGGGCGAGAAGUAUGCGGAAUGCGUGGUGUAGCGGUGAAAUGCAUAGAUAUCACGCAGAACUCCGAUUGCGAAGGCAGCAUACCGGCGCCCUACUGACGCUGAGGCACGAAAGCGUGGGUAUCGAACAGGAUUAGAUACCCGAGUAGUC
rnacentral:rRNA from 1 species